AUUGAACGCUGGCGGCAUGCUUUACACAUGCAAGUCGAACGGUAACAGGGUGCUUGCACCGCUGACGAGUGGCGAACGGGUGAGUAAUGCGUCGGAACGUGCCGAGUAGUGGGGGAUAACGCAGCGAAAGUUGUGCUAAUACCGCAUACGUACUGAGGUAGAAAGUGGGGGACCUUCGGGCCUCACGCUAUUCGAGCGGCCGACGUCUGAUUAGCUAGUAGGUGAGGUAAAGGCUCACCUAGGCGACGAUCAGUAGCGGGUCUGAGAGGAUGGUCCGCCACACUGGGACUGAGACACGGCCCAGACUCCUACGGGAGUCAGCAGUGGGGAAUUUUGGACAAUGGGCGAAAGCCUGAUCCAGCCAUGCCGCGUGUCUGAAGAAGGCCUUCGGGUUGUAAAGGACUUUUGCCAGGGAGGAAAUCCCUAGUGCUAAUAACACUGGGGGAUGACAGUACCUGAAGAAUAAGCACCGGCUAACUACGUGCCAGCAGCCGCAGUAA
rnacentral:rRNA from 1 species